GGGAGAAAUAAAAAAGAACUAUAUCUAGACAAGUAAAACCAACUAGCCACUGAAGGUAGUAAAGCACAAAGGGAGCGUAUUACGAACCAAACCUCAAAAGGAAGCAAAACUCAAGUAUGAUCGCGCUCAUUGCGAUAGCCAUACUUUCCUAAAAAGUUCUAGAAAUCACCUGCAUACUAUUCCAACAACACUAUAACCACCUGCAUACUAACCCUGUGAAGGUGCCAUAUAUCCAAGUGUUCGAGUUUCACCAGUCAUGUCACUUGGAUUCAUAGCUUCAACACGAGCAACUCCAAAAUUAGCUAUUUUCAUAUUCUGAUUACCCUCUAGGAGCAUAUUAUGUCUUCACAUCACGAUGAACAUUCUCCCCUGUAUGUAAAUAGCUAAGACUGCAUAUUAGGGAAAACAAAUAUUUGAUUUCAAUAAAGAGUUAAUAGUUUAUAUAUUUUGAAAUGAUAGACAAAGGAAAUAGGAUGCAGCCCUUGAAGAGAGGGAGCUUUUUCUUAAGGAAAUGUGGAGUUAUUGCAAGAGGUUCAUAAAUCAG